GUGACCUCAAAUCAGGUAGGACUACCCGCUGAACUUAAGCAUAUCAAUAAGCGGAGGAAAAGAAACUAACAAGGAUUCCCCUAGUAACUGCGAGUGAAGCGGGAAAAGCUCAAAUUUAAAAUCUGGCGGUCUUUUGGCUGUCCGAGUUGUAAUCUAGAGAAGUGUUAUCCGCGCUGGACCGUGUACAAGUCUCCUGGAAUGGAGCAUCAUAGAGGGUGAGAAUCCCGUCUUUGACAUGGACUGCCAGGGCUUUUGUGAUGCGCUCU
rnacentral:rRNA from 1 species